AGAUGCCGCUCUGCCAUGGAAGCGGAAGGAUGGUGACCCCUUUCUGAUACACGAAGGCUGGGCUGAAAAACCCUGCUGGCAAAAAUCACAGAAAAAGGCGAGUGUUAAGGAUCCAGGCAAGGAGAAGCCACAUGAAAUUGGUGUUUUAAAGACCAGAGGGUCCCGAUGCAUCAGUCUCUCCACAAGCAUCAUUGAGUUUAACCCCAAAAGCCCCCCUUGGGAGCACCAGAGCUGGAGAUUAGUUACAAGGGUGGGGAGUUACAGGGAUGGUGAAAUAGGUGCCGAAGUCCAGGCUGAAGAGUGGUGUAUCCCCAGGAGUAAAGAUGUUACGGGGAAGAUAUCUACAAGCACAACAGGCUUUCUGCUCAAGAAGCUGCAGGAAAUGAAGGCUGUACAAACAGGAACCACUUACCUGUGAGCUACAAGAACAGAGACACGAAGAGGGG
rnacentral:lncRNA from 1 species